rnacentral:rRNA from 1 species
UACGGAGGGAGCUAGCGUUGUUCGGAAUUACUGGGCGUAAAGCGCGCGUAGGCGGUUACUCAAGUCAGAGGUGAAAGCCCGGGGCUCAACCCCGGAACUGCCCUUUGAAACUAGGUAACUAGAAUCUUGGAGAGGUCAGUGGAAUUCCGAGUGUAGAGGUGAAAUUCGUAGAUAUUCGGAAGAACACCAGUGGCGAAGGCGGCUGACUGGACAUGUAUUGACGCUGAGGUGGCGAAAGCGUGGGGAGCAAACAGGG